UCAUGGCACGGAUUCCCUUGCGUAAAACAGUUGUAGUACACGACAGGUGCACGUACAAGAGAGGAGGAGUUAUAGGGGGUUCAAUCACCGCCCCCUCCUUCCGGAAUUCCAUGAAAAUUAUGAUGAAAGUAAAUUUUGAUUCUUAAAAAUAGAUUCUGUCAACGAAUAAGGUAAAUACAAUUUUGGUUUUAUUUUUAUCUUCUUACAAGGUAGUAGGGGAUAUACUGCUAUUAUUGUCAUUUCUAAUUUGUUGUGGGUAUUCCUGUUUUUAAAAAAUUAUAACUGAUACGGCGAUAUCACAUAGUCCGCAUUAUCAUCACAAUAAUAUAAAUUACAUUAUCAUUUAGGCUGUAUUUACUAAAAAAAUAUUAAAUGUAAAAUUUAGUAGUAUGUAGCUAAAAGACUAAGAAGCUGUCCUAGGAUAAUGGUGACGAGUGCAGCCACUGUUAUAGGUAAUUUAAUGUACAUCUGUAAGCAACGAUUAACCAUUGUUAACGAAAAAACGAUUCUGAGCGGAGUUCGGUUGAUAGUAUUGUUUUGUCAAUAACACACAUGUAAUAUUAGGAUAAAAUAAUUGCAUAUUUCCUUUAAUAAUAUUUGUUUAAUAUUGUACUUAUUUACUCGUUUUUUCUGAUUUUCUCAUGUUUACCCAUUUAUUGGGAUUAUUUCUGGGAAAAUCAAAGAAUGAGUUCCCUAAAGUACAACCCCAGUCAAAUUUCUUUUCAGAACAAGUGCUAUAACUGUAUAUCGGAGUAAAAUUUCUAGUAGAAAAGUUGUCCACAG